rnacentral:lncRNA from 1 species
CAGGGGCGUAGCUAGGCAAUUUUGAUGUGUACGCAAUGCCGGAGAAGGUAGUCAUACGGCCGGGGGUCUGGGGGCCGCUGAAGGCCCUCAGAAGUUCUCGGGUAAAUGGUGCAAAAUCCUGCAUUCUCGCAAUUUCCGAGGACUUAAAAUGACCUCACAGAAAUCUUACUUUCAGGAAAAACAAGUCAACUUUGGAAAUAAAUAAUCAGAGAAAAACAAAGAAACCCGUACUGUUGGGCUUAACAAUUUGUUUUUUCUUUUCUUAUGUGUAGUGG